UAGGGAAUCUUCGGCAAUGGACGGAAGUCUGACCGAGCAACGCCGCGUGAGUGAAGAAGGUUUUCGGAUCGUAAAGCUCUGUUGUAAGAGAAGAACGAGUGUGAGAGUGGAAAGUUCACACUGUGACGGUAUCUUACCAGAAAGGGACGGCUAACUACGUGCCAGCAGCCGCGGUAAUACGUAGGUCCCGAGCGUUGUCCGGAUUUAUUGGGCGUAAAGCGAGCGCAGGCGGUUAGAUAAGUCUGAAGUUAAAGGCUGUGGCUUAACCAUAGUAGGCUUUGGAAACUGUUUAACUUGAGUGCAAGAGGGGAGAGUGGAAUUCCAUGUGUAGCGGUGAAAUGCGUAGAUAUAUGGAGGAACACCGGUGGCGAAAGCGGCUCUCUGGCUUGUAACUGACGCUGAGGCUCGAAAGCGUGGGGAGCAAACAGGAUUAGAUACCCUGGUAGUCCACGCUGUAAACGAUGAGUGCUAGGUGUUAGACCCUUUCCGGGGUUUAGUGCCGUAGCUAACGCAUUAAGCACUCCGCCUGGGGAGUACGAUCGCAAGGUUG
rnacentral:rRNA from 1 species